AAUGAACGCUGGCGGCAUGCCUAACACAUGCAAGUCGAACGGCAGCACAGUAAGAGCUUGCCCUUACGGGUGGCGACUGGCGGACGGGUGAGGCAUACAUCGGAAUCUACUUUUUCGUGGGGGACAACGUAGGGACACUUAUGCUAACACCGAAUACGAUCUACGGGAGAAAGCAGUGGUUCUUCGGACCUUUCGCGAUUGAAAGAGCCGAUGUCGGAUUAGCUAGUUGGCGGGGUAAAGGCACACCAAGGCGACGAUCCGUAGCUGGGCUGAGAGGAUGUUCGGCCACACUGGAACUGAGACACGGUCCAGACUCCUACGGGAGGCAGCAGUGGGGAAUAUUGGACAAUGGGCGCAAGCUUGAUGCAGCAAUACCGCGUGGGUGAAGAAGGCCUUCGGGUUGUAAAGCCCUUUUGUUGGGAAAGAAAAGCAGCAGGUUAAAACCCCGAUGUUCUGACGGUACCUAAAGAAUAAGCACCGGCUAACUUCGUG
rnacentral:rRNA from 1 species